rnacentral:lncRNA from 1 species
AGAAACUUGAUGUCCCAGCCCGGUGUGGGCAGCCAUCCGCAUAAGGCUGUGCAUGCUGGCAUUUGACACAGAACUGCACGAACUGAACCGCAUCUGCACAAAGCAAAGCGACCCGACGCGGCGGGCAGUGUCUCCUGGCACGGCAUUUGUACAGAGCCUGAGAGGAACGCAGCUCGUCAGCACUGCAGGCGGCACGUGUGGCACGUGUGGCACAUCUCCUCACCGCACAGAUCCUUCCCGAGGUCCAGCUCACCUCUCUCCUCAAGGCCACGCAAAACGUCCUGACCUCGUAGACUAACAACUGGCUUUCCUUAACAAAACAUGUGGUGUCAGCACCAGCCAGAAACACAUCGCCCUCUGUAAGCAGGUGUCCUGAAAUAAAAGGCCAGAGGGUGGCUUGUAAAAAGUCA